AAGUCGUAACAAGGUAUCCGUAGGUGAACCUGCGGAUGGAUCAUUAACAGUAUUAUUUUAUACUUCAACACUUGUGAACCGUAUGAGAGUAUCUCUCUCAUUUUAUUAUACUAUUAGACUGAAACCACUUUAUAUAACAAUUAUAAAACUUUUAGCAACGGAUCUCUGGCUCUCGCAACGAUGAAGAACGCAGCGAAUUGCGAAAAGUAAUGUGAAUUGCAUAUACCGUGAAUCAUCAAAUCUUUGAACGCACCUUGCACCAUUGGGAACUCCCGAUGGUACGUCUGUUUGAGUAUCAAUCAACACCUGCAAACUUUGCUUUUAACCGAGCCAUACUUUGCAUAUCGAUUGGAUAGUUUUAUUACUACCGAUUUAGAUACAUAGUCUAGCCACGCUAGUCAACAGAGUUUAACGCUUCUGAGUGACGAAUGUAGCAGCAUGACUGGGGCUUCUUGAAGUCUUUAACUUUGAUCUCAAAUCAGACGAGGAUACCCGCUGAACUUAA
rnacentral:rRNA from 1 species